rfam:Sorghum bicolor cultivar BTx623 chromosome 1, whole genome shotgun sequence.
CCCCGUGAUGGCACAAUCUUUGAGACCUGAGAUUUUCUUCCUUGAUGAAUUUCAAAAGCAUGAUUACUGAGGGC